rnacentral:rRNA from 1 species
UGGGGAAUAUUGCACAAUGGGCGCAAGCCUGAUGCAGCCAUGCCGCGUGUGUGAAGAAGGCCUUCGGGUUGUAAAGCACUUUCAGCGGGGAGGAAGGCGUUAAGGUUAAUAACCUUGGCGAUUGACGUUACCCGCAGAAGAAGCACCGGCUAACUCCGUGCCAGCGGCCGCGGUAAUACGGAGGGUGCAAGCGUUAAUCGGAAUUACUGGGCGUAAAGCGCACGCAGGCGGUCUGUCAAGUCGGAUGUGAAAUCCCCGGGCUCAACCUGGGAACUGCAUUCGAAACUGGCAGGCUAGAGUCUUGUAGAGGGGGGUAGAAUUCCAGGUGUAGCGGUGAAAUGCGUAGAGAUCUGGAGGAAUACCGGUGGCGAAGGCGGCCCCCUGGACAAAGACUGACGCUCAGGUGCGAAAGCGUGGGGAGCAAACAGG